rnacentral:rRNA from 1 species
AUUGAACGCUGGCGGCGUGCCUAACACAUGCAAGUCGAGCGGUAACAGGUGUAGCAAUACAUGCUGACGAGCGGCGAACGGGUGAGUAAUGCUUCGGAAUCUACCCAAUGGUGGGGAAUAACCAGCCGAAAGGUUGGCUAAUACCGCAUACGUCCCACGGGAGAAAGCAGGGGAUCGCAAGACCUUGCGCCAAUGGAUGAGCCGAAGUCGGAUUAGCUAGUUGGAGGGUAACGGCCUACCAAGGCGACGAUCCGUAGCUGGUCUGAGAGGACGACCAGCCACACUGGGACUGAGACACGGCCCAGACUCCUACGGGAGGCAGCAGUGGGGAAUAUUGGACAAUGGGGGAAACCCUGAUCCAGCGACGCCGCGUGUGUGAAGAAGGCCUGCGGGUUGUAAAGCACUUUUAGUGGGGAUGAAAUGUUCAGGGUUAACACCUCUGGAUUUUGACCUAACCCACAGAAAAGCACCGGCUAACUCUGUGCCAGCCGCCGCCGUAAC